CCUACGGGUGGCAGCAGUGGGGAAUAUUGGACAAUGGGCGAAAGCCUGAUCCAGCCAUGCCGCGUGUGUGAAGAAGGCCUUCGGGUUGUAAAGCACUUUCAGUGGGGAAGAAAGCCUUGGGGCUAAUACCCUCGAGGAAGGACAUCACCCACAGAAGAAGCACCGGCUAACUCCGUGCCAGCAGCCGCGGUAAUACGGAGGGUGCGAGCGUUAAUCGGAAUUACUGGGCGUAAAGCGCGCGUAGGCGGUCUGAUAAGCCGGUUGUGAAAGCCCCGGGCUCAACCUGGGAACGGCAUCCGGAACGGUCAGGCUAGAGUGCAGGAGAGGAAGGUAGAAUUCCCGGUGUAGCGGUGAAAUGGGUAGAGAUCGGGAGGAAUACCAGUGGCGAAGGCGGCCUUCUGGACUGACACUGACGCUGAGGUGCGAAAGCGUGGGUAGCAAACAGGAUUAGAACCCGAGUAGUC
rnacentral:rRNA from 1 species